UACGUAGGGUGCGAGCGUUGUCCGGAAUUAUUGGGCGUAAAGGGCUCGUAGGCGGUCUGUUGCGUCGGGAGUGAAAACUCAGGGCUUAACCCUGAGCCUGCUUCCGAUACGGGCAGACUAGAGGUAUGCAGGGGAGACUGGAAUUCCUGGUGUAGCGGUGGAAUGCGCAGAUAUCAGGAGGAACACCGAUAGCGAAGGCAGCUCGCUGGGACGGUACUGACGCUGAGGCGCGAAAGCGUGGGGAGCAAACAGG
rnacentral:rRNA from 1 species